rnacentral:rRNA from 1 species
AUUGAACGCUGGUGGCAUGCUUUACACAUGCAAGUCGAACGGUAACAGGCCGCAAGGUGCUGACGAGUGGCGAACGGGUGAGUAAUGCAUCGGAACGUGCCCAGUCGUGGGGGAUAACGCAGCGAAAGCUGUGCUAAUACCGCAUACGAUCUAUGGAUGAAAGCGGGGGACCGUAAGGCCUCGCGCGAUUGGAGCGGCCGAUGUCAGAUUAGGUAGUUGGUGGGGUAAAGGCUCACCAAGCCAACGAUCUGUAGCUGGUCUGAGAGGACGACCAGCCACGCUGGGACUGAGACACGGCCCAGACUCCUACGGGAGGCAGCAGUGGGGAAUUUUGGACAAUGGGCGCAAGCCUGAUCCAGCAAUGCCGCGUGCAGGAAGAAGGCCUUCGGGUUGUAAACUGCUUUUGUACGGAACGAAAAGGUUUGGGUUAAUACCCUGGGCCGAUGACGGUACCGUAAGAAUAAGCACCGGCUAACUACGUGCCAGCCGCCGCCGUAAUAC